UGGGGAAUAUUGGGCAAUGGGCGGAAGCCUGACCCAGCAACGCCGCGUGAAGGAAGAAGGCUCUCGGGUUGUAAACUUCUUUUAAGAGGGACGAAACAAAUGACGGUACCUCUUGAAUAAGCCACGGCUAACUACGUGCUAGCAGCCGCGGUAAUACGUAGGUGGCAAGCGUUAUCCGGAUUUACUGGGUGUAAAGGGCGUGUAGGCGGGAUGGUAAGUCAGAUGUGAAAACUAUGGGCUCAACCCAUAGCCUGCAUUUGAAACUAUCGUUCUUGAGUGUUGGAGAGGCAGGCGGAAUUCCGUGUGUAGCGGUGAAAUGCGUAGAUAUACGGAGGAACACCAGUGGCGAAGGCGGCCUGCUGGACAAUAACUGACGCUGAGGCGCGAAAGCGUGGGGAGCAAACAGG
rnacentral:rRNA from 1 species